ACGGAGGGUGCAAGCGUUAAUCGGAAUUACUGGGCGUAAAGCGUACGUAGGCGGUUAGAUAAGUCGGAUGUGAAAGCCCCGGGCUUAACCUGGGAAUUGCAUUCGAUACUGUCUGGCUAGAGUGUGGAAGAGGAAGGUGGAAUUCCAGGUGUAGCGGUGAAAUGCGUAGAUAUCUGGAGGAACAUCAGUGGCGAAGGCGGCCUUCUGGUCCAACACUGACGCUGAGGUACGAAAGCGUGGGGAGCAAACA
rnacentral:rRNA from 1 species